CAUAUACUUCCUCCGAUCCAUAUUACUUAUCGAAAUAUUACACGUAUCUAGGCGCUUUUUAAACAUAGAUACAUCCAUAUUUGGACAAAUUUGAGACAAGUAAUAUGGGUUGGAGGGAGUACGAG
rfam:Brachypodium distachyon strain Bd21 chromosome 3, whole genome shotgun sequence.